rnacentral:rRNA from 1 species
AACGAACGCUGGCGGCAUGCCUAACACAUGCAAGUCGAACGAAGCCUUCGGGCUUAGUGGCGCACGGGUGCGUAACGCGUGGGAAUCUGCCCUUGGGUUCGGAAUAACAGUUAGAAAUGACUGCUAAUACCGGAUGAUGUCUUCGGACCAAAGAUUUAUCGCCCAAGGAUGAGCCCGCGUCGGAUUAGCUAGUUGGUGAGGUAAAGGCUCACCAAGGCGACGAUCCGUAGCUGGUCUGAGAGGAUGAUCAGCCACACUGGGACUGAGACACGGCCCAGACUCCUACGGGAGGCAGCAGUGGGGAAUAUUGGACAAUGGGCGAAAGCCUGAUCCAGCAAUGCCGCGUGAGUGAUGAAGGCCUUAGGGUUGUAAAGCUCUUUUACCCGGGAUGGUAAUGACAGUACCGGGAGAAUAAGCCCCGGCUAACUCCGU